UCGUCCGGUGAUGAUCAAACUAUAUACUUCUGUUCUAUCUCAUAGCACUGUGUGGAAGUGAUUUGGAGACCUGAACUGAGGAAGG
rfam:Triticum aestivum genome assembly, contig: Triticum_aestivum_CS42_TGACv1_scaffold_456788_5DS